CACGUAGGGCGCAAGCGUUGUCCGGAAUUAUUGGGCGUAAAAGAGCUCGUAGGCGGUCUGUUGCGUCCGCUGUGAAAACUCGGGGCUUAACCCCGAGCCUGCAGUGGAUACGGGCAGACUAGAGGUAGGUAGGGGAGAAUGGAAUUCCCGGUGUAGCGGUGAAAAUGCGCAGAUAUCAGGAGGAACACCGAUGGCGAAGGCAGGUCUCCUGGGCCACUACUGACGCUGAGAAGCGAAAGCAUGGGGGAGCGAACAGG
rnacentral:rRNA from 1 species